UUAUUGGUUACUUAGGGAGACUAGGAAUGGUAAACUAGUAAUUGAUAAUAGGCUCUCUUCGCCAACGAAUCGGGUUUUGAGCAUAUUAGAUAGCUGCAUGACAUUGAUAAUAAAGCGAAUUUAACACAAAUAGUAGAUAUAGGAAAGUGGAUAAAUAUGAAAUUGUAAACCCCAACAACUCCAUUAAUUCAUAGUCUUCUUUGCCAACU
rnacentral:lncRNA from 1 species